GAUGAACGCUAGCGGCAGGCUUAAUACAUGCAAGUCGAGGGGCAGCAUGAAUGUAGCAAUACGUUUGAUGGCGACCGGCAAACGGGUGCGGAACACGUACACAACCUUCCUAUAAGUGGGGAAUAGCCCAGAGAAAUUUGGAUUAAUACCCCGUAACAUAAUGAUGUGGCAUCACAUUAUUAUUAUAGCUACGGCGCUUAUUGAUGGGUGUGCGGCUGAUUAGAUAGUUGGCGGGGUAACGGCCCACCAAGUCUACGAUCAGUAGCUGAUGUGAGAGCAUGAUCAGCCACACGGGCACUGAGACACGGGCCCGACUCCUACGGGAGGCAGCAGUAAGGAAUAUUGGUCAAUGGACGCAAGUCUGAACCAGCCAUGCCGCGUGAAGAAUUAAGGUCCUCUGGAUUGUAAACUUCUUUUAUCUGGGACGAAAAAAGGCUAUUCUUAGUCACUUGACGGUACCAGAUGAAUAAGCACCGGCUAACUCCGUGCCAGCAGCCGCAGUAA
rnacentral:rRNA from 1 species